rnacentral:rRNA from 1 species
UACGGAGGGUGCAAGCGUUAUCCGGAUUCACUGGGUUUAAAGGGUGCGUAGGCGGGCAGGUAAGUCCGUGGUGAAAUCUCUGAGCUUAACUCAGAAACUGCCAUGGAUACUAUUGUCUUGAAUAUUGUGGAGGUAAGCGGAAUAUGUCAUGUAGCGGUGAAAUGCUUAGAUAUGACAUAGAACACCAAUUGCGAAGGCAGCUUCUACACAGUUAUUGACGCUGAGGCACGAAAGCGUGGGGAUCAAACAGG